rnacentral:tRNA from 1 species
UCUGUAGCAGCUAGAUGGCAGUUAAGUGUUCGGCUGCUAACUGAAAGAUUGGUGGUUCAAACCCACCCAGCAGCU